rnacentral:rRNA from 1 species
AAUUAGCAUAUUCAUUUUGACGUUUAGCUGCAGAAGAAGCACCGGCUAACUCCGUGCCAGCAGCCGCGGUAAUACGGAGGGUGCGAGCGUUUAAUCGGAAUUACUGGGCGUAAAGCGCAUGCAGGUGGUUUGUUAAGUCAGAUGUGAAAGCCCGGGGCUCAACCUCGGAAUUGCAUUUGAAACUGGCAAACUAGAGUACUGUAGAAGGGGGUAGAAUUUCAGGUGUAGCGGUGAAAUGCGUAGAGAUCUGAAGGAAUACCGGUGGCGAAGGCGGCCCCCUGGACAGAUACUGACACUCAGAUGCGAAAGCGUGGGGAGCAAACAGGAUUAGAUACCCUGGUAG